GUAAGUUUCUGGGACCAGAGGGGUGUUGUCUUAUCCUCGGUAGAGGGAGUGCAGAGGAGGGAUGGAAAGGACAGGAGAGGACUGACUUCAGAAGGGGUCAACUGGGAUCGUUCCAGGCAAACUAGAUUUGUGUCACUCUGCUUAGCUCCCUUCUUACAAACGGAUGUGAGAAUACAUCUUCGCCAUCCCUUGGCCUGUGAGGCUGGCCCCAUUACUGAAUGUGUGGAACUGAGAGGUGCACUGAGUAGAAGCAGUAACAGGCAGCAGGUGCUUAACUGUUGGCUGGCUUUUUCUUGGCUUUUUCCUCUCACUCGUUGAAGGUGCAAUGCCUCAUCUUGAUACUGGAUCAUUUCUUCUGUAACUACCAAGUUUUGUAGAUUUGCCUCCUGGAAUCUAUGAUGCUUCUGUGAGAUUCCUCCUUCAAUGAAAUGAGGGAUAAUUAAGUAGCCUGCUGCAUCCAACCUCAGCCUGCCUUCCUGUGAGGUGUCUACGUGUGCCUGUGCACACACACGCCCGCGCACACACAGGCAUGCACACACAUGUGCAUCCAGACAUCCAUGCAUGCACACACAUGUGCAUCCAGACAUCCAUGCAUGCACACACACACACACACACACACACAUAGGUGUAAAGUUUAGUUACAUUGGAAUUAUUUACUUGUUUUCAGAACACUAACUGUAAAUAUGUGUUUAUAUCACUGGGUCACUAGGACUUUCUUAUUUCUGCCUAAGUACCUGAAGUUUCUAUUUCUCUAUUUUUCAAAAUUAUUUUUAAAUUAGAAAAAUAAUCCUCAAAUACAAUAUCAUUUAAAAAGACUCAAACGAUACAGAAGGGACGUAUGGGAAAAUGUGAAAAAAUCCCCUUUAUACAACUGAUACUUCAAAACACUCUCAUUCCCACCUACCAACCCUCUAACAAUAGAAUAACUUCAUAUUUAUGCUGAUGGACCUUUUCCUAUGUAGUGUGAGCUUAGUGUGCAAAAAAAUCUCAAAAUAUUUUUGAAAGCGCCUCUUUUCAUACAAGUUUUAUAUUCUAUGAAGAGAAAAUCUGCUAAAUGUUACUUCCCUAUAGUACUGCCAAGUUGCUUCUCUGAGCCGUUAGACAACUUUUACCCCAUUUCCCCUUUGCCUUAUUGGUUGAAUGUGGUUUUUGAAUUGCUAAUGGGUCAGGUGUGCCACAAAGGAAAGAGCCUGGGCUUUGGAGUCUAACUUGGUUUGAAUCCCAGUAAGAUCCCUGUUUAGUCUCAUAGACUGGGUAAAUUGUGUUCAUUUCUUCCCAGGAAUCAAGGGCCAGGACUCUGCAGCCACACUGCUGCCUGGGUUCAAAUGCUACUUCCCCCUUGACUCAGUGGAAAGCUUUCAAAAACCACUUGACCUCUCAGUGCCUUAGUUCCCUCACCUGUGAAAUGGGGAUAACAAUAAUAUCUCCCUCUUAGGGUUGUUAUGAAAGCUAAAAAGUUACCUCAAUGCCUGGCACACACACAGUGAGUGUUAAAUAAGCCUCGGUUGCUUUUUAUUACCCUCCUAUGUGUACAGAAUUCACAGCGAUGUAAGUCUACAUGCAGGUGAUAAAGAUCCUGCCCCAGGGAACACAGAUGGGUGCAAUCAAACCAUUAUUAAGCUAACAAGACAGCAUGACCCUAAAGCUCCUUGCAGAAAUUUUCACCACCAGGGCGCACACAAACACAGAAAUAAUUCUGCUCAGACUCAAAACAGAGAAGUGACCCCCAGCCCCACCUUUGUCUCAUCUUCCACUCCAUCCAUGCAUUCUUUAGAUUUCAGCUGUUCUCUUCCUUCCCAGCUCUUCUAUUCUCUUCGUCCUCACCAGGCCAAGACCACAUAUUUCACACCCCUCCCACAAAAUGACAGAACUACUCCCACCUCUGCCAUCUUCCCUCCUAUCCACAGGGUCUAUGCCUAGCCAUCUGUUUGGGUCCUAAACUGACGCUUGGAGCAUGUAACAUCCACUAAGGAAAGUUUGUCUUAAUUGCCUCCCUUGCUGAUCACAAUGACAUUCAAAAUCCUUCAUCAAGGUUAUCUUCAAACCCUCCUUUCAAACUAGCCUCUCCCUGUGCUCUAAACAUGUCUCCCAGAAUCCCUGCUCUGAGCCAACCAAUUCAAGUUUCCCAUGGAAUGUAAUUGAUACACAAGAGGGAGUUGGAUGAGAACAUCUUUAAAGCCUUCUGAGCCCUGUAGAUCAUUUGCAGACAUUCUACAAAACUACAAAUAGUCACCGCACUUACUAUGUGCUAAACAUUACGUUAAUUGCCUUUGUUUUAUGCACAUUAGCUCCCUUAAUUCUCAUAAUAGUUUGAUGAAGGAGGUAGUAUUACUAUCCUGUUUUACAGACAGAAAAGCUGAGUCUUGGGGAAGAUAAAUUGUGGCUCCAAGGCUACCCAGCCAAGAUGAGCAAGACUGAAACACAGACCCACAUGACACUGCAGUCCCGCUCUGGGUGUCAGAAGAGUGCUGCUUCCCCCAGCUUCUGUUAGCCUGUGUUAAAUGUUUCCAGGUUGAUCCUCCAGCCUACCCUCACCCCUAUGCUUUCUUUCUAAAACAUAAGCAGAUGAAAAAUAAAGCAUGAGUGCUUCUUCCCUAGGAUGGCAUACCAGAAUCACCAGAUGACAGACAUCGGGGUGCUGUCGGACCCGGGAAUCAGAACCUCUGCAGAUAGAUAUUUUGGAAGGCGCUCCCUAGAUUGGCACCUCUGAUUCCUGCAAGUAGACUGACAGCUGCAUGUUUGCAGGAAAGUUAAAUAUUUUGACAGCGCAGAAGACUGCUGCAUCUGGAGGGUUCUGGGUCCAGCUAUAACCAGACUUGCCUGUCCUAAACAAAUGGAUUGACUGCUUCCGGCAUCCUCACUUUACUUCUGCAUGGUGACCAACAUCCGGAGCUUAAUUACCUGACAGCCAGGAGGUAGGGGGCAAAGGAAACCUUUUAAUUUAUAGUAAGAAGUGAUCAGUUCCUUUUUUGGGUCUUAGUUAGAAUCCAGGUGCACUUGAAACAAUAAAACCUUGUAUAUAGUUUUCUCCUAUAAGAAACUUCUCAGAUAUUUACCAAAAUCCUGGAAAAAUAUAUAUUGGUCAAUAUACCACAAUUCCCACAAGAGGUAAAUAUUUACAAAAUCUACUUUGGGCGGUGAUGCUGCAAGAAUAUUAAAAGGCGUUGACUUUAUCGUCAAGUGAAUUAUUUCUUAAUUUUUUAAAAUUUAAAUCACAGUAUAUUUGACAAGCUACAGCAGUAGGAAAACACCUUUGCUUUAAACAAAACUACCUUUUCUCAGCAAGAACAGUUACUAGAGUGGGAAAUAAGGUUAAUUUCAGUUUUAUUAAUAAUAUCUGAAAUGAAAUAAUGUUACAACUCUCCCCUCUAACCUCGUUGCUAGACAACUUAGAAUAUUUAUUUAUUUCUCCUUCAGAGAAAAUAAGAGUGGAUGUUACCUUUAAGCAACAUACACAUUUAAUUAAUGAACACAAGGAAAAUGAUUCCGGUUGUAGUUAAAUCGGGUACAAGCAUAUAGGAUUUAAGAGAUCUGACCUUAGAAAUGAAGAAAAUAUUAUUGUAAUUACUCCAUUUGCUAAAAACAAAUGAUGUGGCAUUUGAAUUUAAGACUUCUAUCAAAAGCAGUUGAGUGUCUGUAAUCAGUUCUCACCUUUACAUUUUAAUGGAGUUGAGGUUGAGCCGUUGCAUUUACAAUUAUCUAGGCUGACUUCAUGCCUUUGAAAUGACUUAAAAAGAUUAGCAUUCAUGGAUUAUUUAUUAGCUCCUCGUGAACGUAUUUCCAAGAAUGGAAACAACGUAUUGCAUCAAAGUCUAGUUUCCAAGUUUAACUCUUUUAAUGAACAGCAUGACUGUACGAUGCUGCAAAAGGCAUCUCUGAAGUCACAGGACAUUUUGUCAUGCUUUUCCCUUCAAGUGCAUCUUUAGUAGCAGUCUUUGUUCCUUGCAAGCUCAGGGAGAAUGUUGAUUCCAGCCCUGGCAGCUGCCCGAGAUGCCCUGUAAACACUACGGCUAGCAGAAAGCAGGCUGCUCAGGGGGGCAAGGCAGCUGAUCCCAGCCUGCUGUAGCUAUCACUGAUAGGGAAUGCCUGUCUGGGGCUCGGCAGAGAACUCAGUGACAUGAUGGCCCUGGCAGUUUAACCCAAACACACUUUUCUGCCUAGAUAACAAAAAUGUCAUGCCUGAGUCCCUGAUAGCAACCCCAGAGGAGCUCCAGGUUUGAGGCAGCGCUGGCAGGACGUGGUCUAUCUGCCAUCUGAAGCCCUUCAUUGCCCGCCUGGCUGUGAAUCUCACCUCCUCUGUAGUGGAAAACAGGCUGAACAGAACUGGCAGGCAGGUAAGGGACAGCAAACCUUGCAGGGAGGGCCUAGUGCUGAAGCUAAGCCAGCCCUUUGAGUUCAAGCUCAAAGACAUGUGAUGCCAGCUUUGCAGGGGAGCUAAGAUUCUUCCGAGAAAAAGCAGAAUGAGAGAGAGAUAUGCAGCUGCAGUGGAGGACUUGGAAGAGAACAACGCCAGGUCCUGGAUCCUGCAAGAAUCUCCUCUGGAAAAGCAGGGGAGAGAAAAGCAAGGAAGGAAGCAGGGUCACCGCAAGUGUGGGAUUUGUCUUAUUAAAAUCUGAUACUGUGUGGCAGUUUGCUUCACUCUUGGUAUAAAAUGUCUGAGCUCCAUGUUAAAGUAAAUGUAAGUAAUAUAAAUCUGCCUUUCCUGAGGUGAAAAUAGAUCCAUAUUAUUUAAAAUAUGAACUGAGAUAGAUGACAGUUACAAACAUUAUACUUGUUCUUAUUAUAAUUCUUACUAAGCUCAAGGAAUAAAAACUGGGAUGAUGAAAAAGAAGUUCUGAAUGUAAAAAUUGGUGUUUUGGAUAAAAUACAAACCAACCCAGAAAUGAUGAAAAAAAUCUGCCCUGCCUGACUUGCUUUGUUGCUUUGCUCAUGGAGAGUUCAGCAAUCGUGUCAUUUAUUCAUUCAUUCACUCACUCACUCACUGACUCAUUCAUUCAGCAGCUAUCCAACCGGAGCUCGCUGUGAGGCAGACACUGUGCUGGGGACACACAAAUGCAUCAGAUGUGGAGUCUGCCCUCAAUGAGCUUAUAAUCUAAUAAGAAAGAGAAGGCAAGUCCACAUGUAACUGUAGUACGAGGCAGGAUGUAAUAACUGCAGAAAGGGACAUGAAAGAAAAUGCCGUGAGGGAUUGCACCUCACUAGGGGGAGGUUUUAUUUGAACUAUCUUCUAAUGGAUGGGCAGAAUUUGGACAGUGGAAGUGGUGGGGGGUGGGGUGGUAAGGAAAAUCCCAAGAAUGCUUUGGUGUAGAAGGUCCAGCAAUCCCUGCCUGGUUUGUUGUCUGUGUCCAUGAAGUUGAAGCAGAAGAGGAGCACUUGAGUACCUGUCUGCAAGAGCAACUGACCUGGCACCCCUGGUUUUUCCAACUGUCUCUUUCUGUGUUCUCUGGCAAGACACCU
rnacentral:lncRNA from 10 species